rnacentral:misc_RNA from 1 species
GAUGAAGAACGCAGCGAAAUGCGAUAAGUAAUGUGAAUUGCAGAAUUCCGUGAAUCAUCGAACCUUUGAACGCACAUUGCGCCCCCUGGCAUUCCGGGGGGCAUGCCUGUCCGAGCGUCAUUUCUGCCCUCCAGCCCGGCUGGGUGUUGGGCGCUGUCCCCCCGGGGACACGCCCCAAAGGCAGUGGCGGCGCCGCGUCGGGUCCUCGAGCGUAUGGGGCUUUGUCACCCGCUCGGGACGGACUCGUCGGCGCUGGUCUUCCUCCAGGCGACCCUUCGGGGCUCGUCUUCCUUCGGUUGACCUCGGAUCAGGUAGGGUUACCCGCUGAACUUAAGCAUAUCAAUAAGCGGAGGA